rnacentral:rRNA from 1 species
AGUGAACGCUGGCGGCGUGCUUAACACAUGCAAGUCGAACGAGAACGGGUUAUAGCUUGCUAUAAUUGUCAGCUAAGUGGCGCACGGGUGAGUAAUGUAUAGGUAAUAUGCCUCUUACUAAGGGAUAACAAAUGGAAACGUUUGCUAAUACCUUAUACUCCUUAUUAACAGAAGUUAAUAAGGGAAAGAUUUAUUGGUAAGAGAUUAGCCUGUAUUGUAUCAGUUAGUUGGUGGGGUAAUGGCUUACCAAGACUAUGACACAUAACUGGUUUGAGAGGAUGAUCAGUCACACUGGAACUGAGACACGGUCCAGACUCCUACGGGAGGCAGCAGUGGGGAAUAUUGCACAAUGGACGGAAGUCUGAUGCAGCAACGCCGCGUGGAGGAUGACACAUUUCGGUGCGUAAACUCCUUUUAUAUGAGAGGAUAAUGACGGUAUUAUAUGAAUAAGCACCGGCUAACUCCGUGCCAGCAGCCGCCGUAA